UAAUUAUUUUCCCUCAGUCAUAGUAUGAGUUACUUUCUUUAAGACUUAAAAAAAAUUCUACUUUUGACACAUUUUCACAUUCUGCAUGUGCAUUAAAAUUAUUUUUUUUUUUUUUGCACACUCAAUAUAAUACUGCUGACUUGAUAUUUCACCCAGAAAUCUCACUCUGAAGUUGAAUUGUGUCUGUGGUGUCUGUGGCAGCAGUCUGCUGUCUUGUUUUGUGCGUUCUGUGACGUGUACCAGUUUCAGAUAGUGUCUUUAGUAAAAGUCUGUCAUGCAUCAGUUUUCCUUUCAAAGUGCUGCGGAACCCAGACAAGUCAGUCAGGCGAUCAUAAAAGCUGUUUGUCUGCACGAACACCCAGAGCCGGAAAGAGUGGAAAGAGUCCUGAGGAAAUAUUCAUCGAGCUGCCAAUCUGCCUUUAGAAAGGGAAAACACAGUAACCAACAAUAAAUGUAUGAUUUGAAAAUAAAAAGACCUUAACUGUAUUUAAAAAUUACCUUCAUUACAUUUUUUUUGUAAUGCACUACCACAAUUUUUAAUAAAUGGUUUCAGAAUGGAAACACGUUGUACUGAAAAGUACAGAAAUAAAUUCUAAACAAAUUUUCCUUGUUUAUUUUGAGCAAAAAGAAAAAGAUAUAAUGCUAUGAAGCAGAUUUUGCAUAGUUAUAUUUACACAAAUAAUUGUGCCCAUGAUAAUAUAAGUAAGUAAGCAAGUCAUUUAGAAGUACAAGUAAGUAAACAUUACCCCUUGCCUCUCAACACCAAAUGCCCAAGCAAAUAAUCUUUAAUAAUUAUAAUUGCUUGAAAAUCUUCCAGAUGCUCAGGACAUUUCUUAACUAGUACUUUCGGACUACCACACCUAAAAUAUACCGGUCUAUGUAUUCUCACACUCUUGUGUUAUUCUUGGACCUGACACCUGUAGGUGUGUAUGGUAUGUCUCCAUGGCUGACUAUGUGUGCAUCUAUCAGGUGUGGUUUUAGGAGACUGAGGCAUUUUGUUUUGUUCUUGUUUUAUUCUUGUGUGGUUUCUGGAGACCAGAUAUAAUACAACAUUGACGUUCGUGUACGAGUGUGUGCAGCCGACGUCUCGCAGAACGAGUGCAACUUUUUGCAUGCAAGAUCUGGGCGUGCUCAGUUUAUAAUCUCUGACAUGAUGUCUCCUUCUCUGUAGUACGGAGUAAAUUUACUAUCCCAGUGUAUCUGGUGUUCUCUGUUCUUCCACGUGAUUGUGUGCUGGUGCUCCUUUCUCUCUGGUCUGUAUCAGUGGGCUGGUCUCCUGUGCCUGCUCUGCUGAUAAUCAGUGUCUCUCUUCAGCUGGCUCAGUUCAGCAGGAACAGGGGCCUGGUCUUGCCAACAUAACACCUUAGAGACACAUAUCCACAUCCACCCACACACACACACACACACACACACACACACACACACACACACACACACACAGAUGCACGCCACCAGACGUACAUUCUGGGAGAAUCCAUACUCCCGCACCUUCCACAGCUGGGAUCCAGAGCGUGAUGGCUAUAUACAGUUGAUUUAAGUUAUGAAUGUGAUAAUGUGUGAUAAUAAUACUAUAGCCUACCAAUUAUGGACUGGCGCCAGUGACAUCAAUAAAACUGAGACAUCAAUAAAAGCUAAG
ensembl:lncRNA